AUUGAACGCUGGCGGCAGGCCUAACACAUGCAAGUCGAACGAGUGGCGGACGGGUGAGUAAUGUCUGGGAAACUGCCUGCUGGAGGGGGAUAACUACUGGAAACGGUAGCUAAUACCGCAUACCAUCAGAUGUGCCCAGAUGGGAUUGGCUAGUUGGUGGGGUGACGGCUCACCAAGGCGACGAUCCCUAGCUGGGCUGAGAGGAUGACCGGCCACACUGGAACGGGGACACGGGCCAGACUCCUACGGGAGGCAGCAGAGGGGAAUAUGGGACAAUGGGGGCAAGCCUGAUGCAGCCAUGCGGCGUGUAUGAAGAAGGCCUUCGGGUUGGAAAGUACUUUCAGCGGGGAGGCGUUACCCGCAGAAGAAGCACCGGCUAACUACGUGCCAGCAGCCGCGGUAAUAC
rnacentral:rRNA from 1 species